CUUGUCCCUAUAAGUGUUGCGGCUGUGGCUGCUGUGUCACAUUUGCAUCAGAGGGUGGCAGAGAGGAGAGAGGCUAUAUUUACACUUAGUGUUCUGACCUAUGAACAUCUGAAUGAUUAGUACCCUAACAUU